AACGCGAAGAACCUUACCUGGGCUCGAACGGCUUCGGACAAACUGUGGAAACACGGUCUUCCCGCAAGGGACUGGAGUCGAGGUGCUGCAUGGCUGUCGUCAGCUCGUGUCGUGAGAUGUUGGGUUAAGUCCCGCAACGAGCGCAACCCUUACUCAUAGUUGCUACCCGCAAGGGAGAACUCUAUGAGGACUGCUCCGGAUAACGGAGAGGAAGGUGGGGAUGAGGUCAAGUCAGCAUGGCCUUUAUGUCCAGGGCUACACACGUGUUACAAUGCGCGCCACAAAGCGUUGCAAACCCGCGAGGGGGAGCUAAUCGCAAAAAAGCGCGCUCAGUUCGGAUUGCAGUCUGCAACUCGACUGCAUGAAGCCGGAAUCGCUAGUAAUGGCGCAUCAGAACGGCGCCGUGAAUACGUUCCCGGGCCUUGUACACACCGGUACUA
rnacentral:rRNA from 1 species